AGGGUUUGAUCCCUGGCUCAGAACGUACGCUGGCGGCACGCCUAACACAUGCAAGUCGAACGAAGUAGCAAUACUUAGUGGCAGACGGGUGAGUAACAUGUGGGUAUCUGCCCUUUGGCCUGGAAUAACACGAGGAAACUUGUGCUAAUACCGGAUAAGUCUUUACGGAGAAAGCUUUAUGCACCAUUGGAUGAGCCCGCACUUGAUUAGUUUGUUGGUGGGGUAAUGGCCUACCAAGACUGUGAUCAAUAGCUGAUUUGAGAGGAUGAUCAGCCACAUUGGGACUGAGACACGGCCCAAACUCCUACGGGAGGCAGCAGUGGGGAAUCUUGCACAAUGGAGGAAACUCUGAUGCAGCGAUGCCGCGUGAGUGAAGAAGGCCCUUGGGUUGUAAAGCUCUUUCGUCGGGGAAGAAAAUGACUGUACCCGAAUAAGAAGGUCCGGCUAACUUCGUGCCAGCAGCCGCGGUAAUACGAAGGGACCUAGCGUAGUUCGGAAUUACUGGGCUUAAAGAGUUCGUAGGUGGUUGAAAAAGUUAGUGGUGAAAUCCCAGAGCUUAACUCUGGAACUGCCAUUAAAACUUUUCAGCUAGAGUAUGAUAGAGGAAAGCAGAAUUUCUAGUGUAGAGGUGAAAUUCGUAGAUAUUAGAAAGAAUACCAAUUGCGAAGGCAGCUUUCUGGAUCAUUACUGACACUGAGGAACGAAAGCAUGGGUAGCGAAGAGGAUUAGAUACCCUCGUAGUCCAUGCCGUAAACGAUGUGUGUUAGACGUUGGAAAUUUAUUUUCAGUGUCGCAGGGAAACCGAUAAACACACCGCCUGGGGAGUACGACCGCAAGGUUAAAACUCAAAUGAAUUGACGGGGACCCGCACAAGUAGUGGAGCAUGUGGUUUAAUUCGAAGAUACGCGCAGAACCUUACCAACACUUGACAUGUUCGUCGCGACUCUAAGAGAUUAGAGUUUUCGGUUCGGCCGGACGAAACACAGGUGCUGCAUGGCUGUCGUCAGCUCGUGUCGUGAGAUGUUGGGUUAAGUCCCGCAACGAGCGCAACCCUCACUUUUAGUUGCCAUCAUUAAGUUGGGCACUCUGAAAGAACUGCCAGUGAUAAGCUGGAGGAAGGUGGGGAUGACGUCAAGUCCUCAUGGCCCUUACGUGUUGGGCUACACACGUGCUACAAUGGCAUCUACAACAGGAAGCAAAACGGCAACGUUAAGCAAAUCCCGAAAAGAUGCCUCAGUUCGGAUUGCACUCUGCAACUCGAGUGCAUGAAGCUGGAAUUACUAGUAAUCGUGGAUCAGCGUGCCACGGUGAAUGCGUUCCCGGGUCUUGUACACACCGCCCGUCACACCAUGGGAGUUGGUUCUACCUUAAGGCAAGGUUUUAAACCCUUGACCACGGUAUAGUCAGCGACUGGGGUGAAGUCGUAACAAGGUAGCCGUA
rnacentral:rRNA from 1 species